GACAGAGGAUGCAAGCGUUACCCGGAAUGAUUGGGCGUAAAGCGUCUGUAGAUGGCUUUUCAAGUCCGCUGUCAAAUCCCAGGGCUCAACCCUGGAUAUGCGGUGGAAACUACCAAGCUGGAGUACGGUAGGGGCAGAGGGAAUUUCCGGUGGAGCGAUGAAAUGCAUUGAGAUCAGAAAGAACACCAACGGCGAAAGCACUCUGCUGGGCCGACACUGACACUGAGAGAUGAAAGCUAGGGGAGCAAAUGGG
rnacentral:rRNA from 1 species